ensembl:lncRNA
GUGGUAAUGGUGGUAGUGGUGGUAAUGGCCGUAAUGGUGGUAGUGGUGGUAGUGGUGGUAAUGUUAGUAGUGGAAAUAAUGUCGAAAGUAGCAAACAUUGCAAUGUGAAAAACGAUUUUAUUUUCAAAUACUUCAGGGAUAUGAAAAAUCCCAAAACUAGCGACAAUAACGCGAAUAAAAUGUUUGAUAUGGAUUAUAAUAAUGUUACUACUAGUUUUGAUAAAACAGAAAAUGUGAGUGAAAGAAAAAAUAUUUUAUCACAAGAAGCAAUACAUGCAAUGGAAAAUUUGAGUAACGAUAGAGAUAGGAGUAGGGAGCAUAGGCCAAAAAUUGUAGAAAAUGAUAAAAGAUGGAACAAUAGCAAAGACGGGGAAAAAGGUGACAAUCGCAAGAACGUGAAACCAACAAAUGAACAGAAUCAGAACGAAAAAACAGAUGCAGUGACAAAUGAAAAAAAAAAAAAAAAAAAAAAAAAGAUCAGAACAUAGGACAAACAAUAAAAUGCAUGAAGGUAAAAGUAAUGGAGUAAAAAAAGAAAAGGGCUUUCAAAAUGAAGACACGGAAAUGGUGAAUAGACGAAAAAAAAAAAAUAUGAAAGAAGUUGAUAAAGAUAAAGAUAAUGAAGAGUGCAAGUGGGGGAACGAUAUGGUAUCUGAUGCAGAAUCAAAAAAAAAAAACAAAUGGAAUGAAUUGGCUUAUCCGAACAAGUUAACUAAUCAGAGUAAAUUAAAUAAGCUAAAUAAUGAACACGAAUUUAACAAGUUAGAUAAUGGGAGCGAUUCGUACGAAACUACUAUGUUAGAUGAAGCGAAAUAUAUAAAACCUAACAAUUACAAAAGCAAUAUGAUAGACAAAAUAAAAUAUGAAAAUAGUGUAAAAAAAAAGAAAGAGUAUCGUUUAUACGGGGAAAAUGAAUCAGUAAAAACUUAUAGUAAACAUAAUUUCAAAAAGAAUAACAAUUUUAUGAAGGAUUACAACAAUGAUAAUACUAUUGUUAGUAGUUUUGAGUAUAAUACAAAUGAUGAUAAUAUUACUUGUGGUUAUAAAUCAGAUGAACACGUUGACAUAUAUCACAAAAUUGAUAAACCUGCUAUGAACGAGAUGAAAAGUUUUUUAAAUCCACUUAAAAAUAAGUUUUUAUUAAAUUUAUUACCACAAGGUAAAAGAUUUCGAAUUAAUGAAGAAUAUAUAACUUUUCAAAAUAAUGAACGUAUGGAAAAUAUACCUGAACCAUUAGAUGUAAAUAGAAGAAAUUAUUGUAUUAUUCAGAAUAAGCCUGAAUAUUAUAUGGAUGAACAAAGUUCUGAGUUUUCUUAUGAUAGUGGUGAGAGCUUAAAUAAUGACGAUGUUGAAAGUGAUAAUGAUAAUAUCGACGAUAAUAAUAAUAACAUUACUAGAAAAAGGAAAAAGAAACAAAAUAUAAAUGAGAAUGCACAUAAAGAAAUAGUAAAAGUUGGUAGUUUAAUUAAUAAAUUUACUCUAGCAUUUAAAGAUAUGCAAUUAGAAUCAGCUUUUCGAAUACAUAAAAAAAACAAAUUUUAUAAAAC